AAAAAUGCGCAAGCAUGUUUUCCUUCUCUUCUCAAGUGUUUUUUCCUUGUUGACGGUCAUCACCUUUAGAGAGAAGCUCCCAGACACCCUGGCACUGUUUUUGGAUGAAAUCCAGACGGCACAUCAGCUACAGUAAAUUCAAUGUGGGUCACGUGGGAAGCUAAAGUCUAUGUGAGUUGAGUAGGGUCCCAGGCACGGUCACGGUACACGCUAUCUGGUCACCAGGCAAUCACAGGACUGACAACAACUAUAGGCUACCAUAAUGGACUUUGGACUGUUUUAGUGCCACAGACCAUAUAAAAAAGAUGCUUACCUCUGCGUCUGUCACGGUACUUGACGUGAUUGAGGACCUCUUCAGCUUGCCUCGUGAGAUCAAGA